rnacentral:rRNA from 2 species
GGCGGGACACGUGGUAUCCUGUCUGAAUAUGGGGGGACCAUCCUCCAAGGCUAAAUACUCCUGACUGACCGAUAGUGAACCAGUACCGUGAGGGAAAGGCGAAAAGAACCCCGGCGAGGGGAGUGAAAAAGAACCUGAAACCGUGUACGUACAAGCAGUGGGAGCACAGGUUUACCUGUGUGACUGCGUACCUUUUGUAUAAUGGGUCAGCGACUUAUAUUCUGUAGCAAGGUUAACCGAAUAGGGGAGCCGGAGGGAAACCGAGUCUUAAUUGGGCGUUAAGUUGCAGGGUAUAGACCCGAAACCCGGUGAUCUAGCCAUGGGCAGGUUGAAGGUUGGGUAACACUAACUGGAGGACCGAACCGACUAAUGUUGAAAAAUUAGCGGAUGACCUGUGGCUGGGGGUGAAAGGCCAAUCAAACCGGGAGAUAGCUGGUUCUCCCCGAAAGCUAUUUAGGUAGCGCCUCGUGAAUUCAUCUCCGGGGGUAGAGCACUGUUUCGGCUAGGGGGCCAUCCCGGCUUACCAACCCGAUGCAAACUGCGAAUACCGGAGAAUGUUAUCACGGGAGACACACGGCGGGUGCUAACGUCCGUCGUGAAGAGGGAAACAACCCAGACCGCCAGCUAAGGUCCCAAAGUCAUGGUUAAGUGGGAAACGAUGUGGGAAGGCCCAGACAGCCAGGAUGUUGGCUUAGAAGCAGCCAUCAUUUAAAGAAAGCGUAAUAGCUCACUGGUCGAGUCGGCCUGCGCGGAAGAUGUAACGGGGCUAAACCAU